rnacentral:rRNA from 1 species
CAGUCGCCACGGUAAUACGUAGGGUGCGAGCGUUAAUCGGAAUUACUGGGCGUAAAGCGUGCGCAGGCGGUUCGUUAAGACAGAUGUGAAAUCCCCGGGCUUAACCUGGGAACUGCAUUUGUGACUGGCGAGCUAGAGUAUGGCAGGGGGGGGUAGAAUUCCACGUGUAGCAGUGAAAUGCGUAGAGAUGUGGAGGAAUACCGAUGGCGAAGGCAGCCCCCUGGGCCAAUACUGACGCUCAUGCACGAAAGCGUGGGGAGCAAACAGGAUUAGAUACCCCCGUAGUCCCUGUCUCUUAUAA